CGGUACCGCGGUCCCAGCGCUUGCUCCGCCGAGCGCGGCGGUAGCCAGCUGCACAGACACCGCCGCGCAUGCGCCGCGUCGCGCUGUCGCCACCCGCCGGGUCCUAGCGCCGCCGCCGUGCAUCCCGCCCUGUCAGGGCCUCGCGGAGUGAGAAAGGCCCACCGGGGCUUGACCUACUGACUGACGGGAGCAGCUCAGGGGUGGUCACUGAAACACCUACCGAUGGAAACGAAUCUGCAGAGCUAAGUGUUUCUGCCCCUUGUCUGAGUUCUCCUCUGCAGUCUGGAGCUACGAUGCAUAAAAUGUCCUAACAUAAAUGGUGUUCUCUUCUCUUGGAUAUGAAUGCACUUAAGGCUGGCUCACAGCUCUUAUGAAAACUGCUGCUGAACUGUCACUUGAUAGAGAUGCAGGAAAAAGCAGGACACAGAUAUGACAGAGAGGACUGGAAAUUCAAAGAUACGAAGAACAGAUAAGAUAAAAGAGAAUAUAAAAAUCUGGAGAAUGAUGGAAGUUGGAAAUAAAUAUCAAGGAAUAUGAAGAUGUUUUACCCUGAAGCUCUUUGUAGAAGGAAAGAAAAGUAACAAUGGAAACAAAAGAAAUUUAUUACUAAACCACGAUGGUAAUGCCUGAAAAGUUGUCCAAGUGAAGCAUAUGAUUCUUCAUCCCACAGAUUUGGUGUUUAAUGUUCACUCCAUGUUAAACAGAGAAAAUUACUUGGAAAAUACAGAAAAUUUGAAGGUGAUUAAAAUAAAGCUGUUAUGAAGCCUGAUUAUGCCAUUGAAUACUGUUGUUUCCAUGGUAACAACUGCAUCACAUGUCACCUGUGCACAUGAUGCAAAGUCAUUUCUUAAAGUUACACAAAUACUAACAGGAAGGGCAAACUUCUCAGUUUCUUUUAUCAUGAGUAUGAAGUGUUUUAUUUCCAUAACAAGCACAGAAUUUUCCAUAACUCACUGAGUAUUUGGGAAGUGGCAUUAUAAACAAUGUAUCAUUUGCAACUGAAAAAUACCUAAUGUUUAAAUAUGAAAAAAUCAAGAUUUUCAUGAGGAAAAAGGAGAGCAGUGGGUUAAAGGGACAGCUGGUAUGUGUGUUACCCGAUAUGGGAGUUCUGCUCUGUUACUAUUUUGUUACUGCUGUGGCGAGGCAGCAAAUGAUAGCUACUAGUAAUUCACUGAAUAAGGCACGUGUAUUGUCCAGCUGUAUCCAUGCCUUCAGCCUUCCUGUGAACAAACUGAAGAAUA